rnacentral:rRNA from 1 species
AAAAAAAGGCACGCGGACGGGAGGGUAUAGAGGGGAGGGGCCUAGGUGGGUAGGGCAAGCGGUCGAGGCGGGAGCGAAGAAGGGCCACGCGGUGGCAGUCCCAUAUGGAGUGUACAAGAUCCAGCAACCACUCUCAAACACGAAGUCUACCGACCCCGCGACGUAUCAAGAGCAACAGGCCGAGACAAUAACAACCGACACGACAACGACUGAAACAGAGGUCCGUUACGUAAGAUGAACGGACCGUCGAUGUACGUGUGUAUGAGGGUUCCACUCCUAUAUACCCGUUUCCAAUUAAGUGAGUGCAGGUAACUCUGACUCUACGGCAAGUCGAUGAUGUCAGACGGUAUGACGGCAGGUGGACCGCCGUAGUUCUUCUCGCGGCUCUUGGACCCACUCGAAGAGUACCCACUGGUCUAGCUGUUGAGUGGGAUGGCCAAGGCACACUUACAGUUGCUCAGGGAGAAGGAGACGUGGUGCUUUCCCGAAUUACUCUUACUACGUUUCGAAGAGUUCGUCGCCCGGGCACUAGAAAUAGUCCACUUGUACUACGACCUGUUAGACGGACAGUACGCAAAACGACUCGUCUUACCAUAGUGUCAUGUCACCUGACCAAAAGGACAACCAAUGUGAGGGCGACCAUCACGACUACUAAUAUAGUAGUUGGUAAAUUUCAAAUUCCAGAACCAGGUACUCAUGCUUCCUUGUUUACAUCUUUAUUAGCCAUUACCUCUUCUUCCUAGACGACAGUAUAGUCUCUGCCUGUUCUUCCCCUACAGACCCAUAGUCUAACAACCAAAACUCCAGCACGGAACGUCACACUUCGCACUGGGGCUCCUAAAGAGAUUCGAAUUGUACGUACUGUGGUAACUUGGACACUCGACGGGCCACCUCGAAGCUUACAGGGUUCACUAGUCCGUUGUCCUCUCCUAGUGCAAAUGGAUACUACAACUCAAACACUUCUCACUGUAGUCCACCGGUAGAUCCACCCUACGAAUAGACUUCUACCUCCGACCACGGUUCCAGGUGACCAAGAGAUAUUACUUGAGGGAGUACCAGUAGAACAAGAACCGUCCUUAGCAGAAAUAAUAUAAGGACUCUUGACAGUCCUCCCUAGAGUGGUGUAUACUUCUCGAGCUGUUCCUUCGCGUUCGUGUCUACUUACUCCUCGAUAGACCCACCUUCGAACAACAACCUCUACACAAGUCUCUCGGUUGAACGGGGUUCGAUAAUACGUAGUACUAACCACUACCUCAAGUUUAAGACCCGUACAGUUAACAUUGUUAACAAAAAAGGUGUGAACCCAAGUACAGAGGUCGAAGUUCUCCUUACGAAGAAUGACCUUACUAAUAAGAGAUAGAAAAGGAACCAUAACAUCGACCCAUACAGUCACAAGCCGAUACCUCCUGAUAAUUCCCUUGCAGACUUCCUACCUCUAGUGACAGUACCAACUGACGGACGAAAAAGGGACCACAGUACAAAUGCCAGGAAUGGUAGAAUUUGAAACACGACACCCCUUCGUUUUCGUGACCUCGAAAUGGAUAUAGUAAUAAAAAGUGGGAAGACCGAGACACCAAGACAUAGAGACACGGCAAUUGCGAACAACCACCGAAGGAACCAUGUUCUCGUCUCGUUUAACUUAAGGGACAAGCGUGGUUGGUCUAAGGAUCUCUCUAGGGACGUGCCUUUAUAGGUAGUACCGAAGACCAGGAACCUCGUCCGUGUGACGGUAAACCUUGGGACAAAUAACUCGACAAGAAGUAAGACAGCUCGUAGACCGAACCUUCCAAGAUGAUACACAAACCGAAGGACGACUAACAGGACGACUACGAACAGCAACAAACGCGACUCCAUAGACAGCAGGAGUGUAUGUACUUAGAGACACAACUCCUGACCUCCACCACCACCUUCCGGAAGAAACGUAGCCCGAGACAACGAGAGAUGCACAAGGAGAUGAGGUAGUUGAUGAACCAGAAACUAGAGUCUUCGGACUCGCCAGGACAGAGACGUUACGAGAUGUAGCCGAUGAGUAAGGAGUACCGCAAGCGCUAGUACGAGCGGUGACCUUGGUAACCGAAGAACUGCAGUUAUAGGAAACACGUGAUGGAGAAGCGCAGGCACUUCUAGCUAACUACCUACCAACGGUAUAGUUACCGGAAGACAUAGACAUAACGAUUUUCAUGCACGCACUCAAAGCGGGUACUCUUCGCGUCAAAUUACUCCACUAAAACUAGUUGACGUCUACAAAAAUCAUCUACAACUACGUCAAAAAGGGAUCAUUUACAUCAAGGCGACAAGUUGACGUCUACAAAGGAAUCAUCUAAAAGCAGUCGACGAUGUGAAUAAGUCUAUCUAUGACGUUCAGACGUUGGGUAUAGAUGUUUCACAAUUCCCCAUUACUGAUACUAUAAGAUUAGACGCUCACCGUUACGUACCAUCGGUGGAUAAAACAUUUUCUAGAAUUACACACUUGUAAUAAACGAUGCACAAAGAACCGGAUUAAAGUUUUGAUAGCCCUUUUGCGAAAGACAAAGAAAAUGUCACAACAAAAAGGAAGGUUGGUUUUCGGUAUACAGAAAACGGUAUAAGG